rnacentral:lncRNA from 1 species
GCGGGGCGGGGGGGGCGAGGUACUUGGUGUGGGCCUGGACCCCGCAGGCCUGGAAAGGAUGAGCGGUUCUCGCCGCUCGCGCGCAGAUGCACUCGCGCUAGGCUCGCCGCUAACCCGAAGGGAGGGAACCCUGGUGGUUUCUGAUGUUCCGUCCAUUUUAGUCCCAGAGGAUCUGUGGACGUCGAGGAGUCCAAGGAGGAAGGAAGAAGACUCUGGCAGACACACCAGGCCUAGCUCCAGACCCUCUAGGCCAGCACCUGCCUUUGGCCAGAUUAUGAAGGUAAUCAGGCUGCCUACAGGAGCCCAGGCCUCUCUGUCUGGGCUUUCCCUCCAUGGGCAUGUCCUCUCCCCUCUCACCUGAAACCCUUUCCCUUGAAUGAUUCUGAUUGUGGGUCGUCCUGCUGAGGACAGAGUUCUCUCCAGAUGAGCUUCCUCUUCCCUGGGGCUUUGUACUUUGUGCUGGGCUGUCUCGAUGAGGGUGAAAGACUCUGUGUCCUGAGAAAGGAACACUCAGCAGCAGCUGGUGAUCUGGUGAUGGCAGACUCUCUCUAGAGAGGACCCAUGAGUCCCUUGGGGAGAGCCUGGCUGGCUUUGGAGACAAGUCAUGGAUAACUUUUAUUUAUUUGCUCGCUUGUUGGUUUGUUUGAGGUAUAGUUGAUUUACAACACUGUGUCAGUUUCAGGUGUAGAGCAUAGUGAUUCAGUAUUUUUAUAGCUUAUAUUCUGUUAUAGAUUAUUAUAAGAUAAUGGAUAUAACUCCCUGUGCUAUAUAAUAUAUCCUUGUUGCUUAUCUAUUUCAUGUAUAGUAAGCAACAAAUAUUCCUAAUUUGUCCUGCCCCUCUACCCUCUCCCCUUUGGUAACCACAGAUUUGUUUUCUAUGUCUGCGAGACUCUUUCUGUUUUGUAUAUAGAUUCAUUUCUAUUACUUCUUAAAUUCCACAUAUAAGCGAUAUCAUAUAGUCCUUGGCUUUCUCUUACUUCACUGAUCACAAUAUUUUCUAGAUCCAUUGUUGUGAAUAGCUUUGAAUUGCUUCUGACCAGCAGACCGAGGCCCACCCUUCAGGUGACAGCACAGUUUUGCCUUAGUAAUUGACUCAUCUUUCAUUUGAUACAGUUUUGGUGGGACUGUCCAUCGAGGGACCCUGUCAUUCCUGGCCAGAUGGACCAUGUCACCCAAAUUAGGCAAAUUGGAUACUCUGUCCUAGGAAGUUAAAUUUUUUGAGGAGGUGAUACAAAACCAGAAAAUGUUUGGGGCCAAUUCGUCCUAGUUCUGGUCAUUACCCCCUGGUGUCUGCUUCCCAGAUUCCUGGAACUGCCCUGCUGCUCAUCCUUCUGGCUUCAGCUUUUCCUGGAGUUCUCUGUUUCCUCAUGUCUUCCUAUAAAGUCCUUUCUGGGUAAGUUACACAGAUCCAGUUUCUAUUGCUUACCGUCUAAGACCCUGGGCUAAUGUGGCACCAAUGUCACUUAGGUCUUUCAAGCCCCAUUGCCUCCCCUAGCAAUGGUUAAGGCCUCUCCAUGUGUGUGCAUAUGUGGGGUCCUGCUGUAUUUUAUUUAUGCUGUGGAUGGAAUGUGGGCAGUGGUCGAAGGAGGCCAGCCAGGUUGGGUGUUAGGAGCUAAGCGAGAUGGUGGAGUCAGCCAGAUUCAUCUCCUAGGUCCUUAACCAGACUGUCAGAUUGGACUUGCACAGCCAUGGGAGGAGGCUCAUGGCAGAUCCAGGAAGCGCAUGAGGCCACAGGCUGAAUACACUGUAUCUUGUCAAAGUGCCAAUGUGAAGAUUUUACGGGCAUAGGGAGACAUCGUAGAGUUUUGUUGUUGUUGUUGUUUUUAGUUUUAAAGAAAAAAUAUAUAUGUAUUGGGCAUAGGAAUAAAAUCUGCAGGAAUUUUUAUGAGAACA